rnacentral:RNase_P_RNA from 1 species
UGAGUUGGCCGGAUGGCUGCAGCAUAUUUAUUUAUGUUGAGGAAGGUCGGGGCUCCAAUGAACAGAGUGCUGAUGAGAGUCAGGAUGGAGUGAUCUGUCGAUUAGGGCAACAGAGAGUAAACCGCCGAUGGCCAUAGAAAUAUGGAACAGGUAAGGGUGAAAGGGUGCGGUAAGAGCGCACCAGCAUUCGAAGCGAUUCGGGUGGCUAGGCAACCUCCACUCGGAGCAAGGUCAAGUGUGGAACAUGGGUCGUUCGUCCCGGUUACUAGAAAUGGUACAGUUCCCAGGUGGACCGCAUAGAUGGAUAGUCAUCAAGGGAAAAUAUNGAAAUAGAUUCCUGAACAGAACCCCGCCUAUAGGCCAACUCACCUA